rnacentral:rRNA from 1 species
AGGAUGUUGGCUUAGAAGCAGCCACUCAUUUAAAGAGUGCGUAAUAGCUCACUAGUCGAGUGAUUGUGCGCCGAAAAUGUAACGGGGCUAAAAUUCAUACCGAAGCUUAGGCUUUGCACACUUUGUGUGCGAGGGGUAGAUGAGCGUUGUGUAAGUCUGCGAAGCUACACCGAAAGGAGUAGUGGAGAUAUCACAAGUGAGAAUGCCGGAAUGAGUAGCGAGAAUUAUGUGAGAAUCAUAAUGGUCGAAAAUCUAAGGUUUCUUGAGGAAGGUUCGUCCGCUCAAGGUAAGCCGGGAGCUAAGGCGAGGCCGAGAGGCGUAGUCGAUGCACAUACGGUAAAGAUUCCGUAGCCACCGAAGUCGUUAAAUACAGGGACACAGGAACAUAGCCUAACCCCACCGUUGGUUGAGUGGGGCGUAAGGGAGCGAAAAAUAGUAGCGAAGUAGGUGAUUGUACACUGGCGAGAAAAGCUGUAUGUAUUGAUAAGGUGCCCGUACCGCAAACCGACACAGGUAGAUGAGGAGAGAAUCCUAAGACCAGCGGGAGAAGUGUUGUUAAGGAACUCGGCAAAAUGACCCCGUAACUUCGGGAUAAGGGGAGCCUACGCGAGUAGGCCGCAGAGAAUAGUCUCAAGCGACUGUUUAGCAAAAACACAGGUCUAUGCUAAAUCGAAAGAUGAUGUAUAUGGGCUGACGCCUGCCCGGUGCUGGAAGGUUAAGGGGAAGUGUUAGAGCAAUCGAAGCACUGAACUUAAGCCCCAGUAAACGGCGGCCGUAACUAUAACGGUCCUAAGGUAGCGAAAUUCCUUGUCAGGUAAGUUCUGACCCGCACGAAUGGCGUAACGACUUGAGAGCUGUCUCAACAACAUACCCGGCGAAAUUGAAGUACUGGUAAAGAUGCCAGUUACCCGUGAUAAGACGGAAAGACCCCAUGGAGCUUUACUGUAACUUGAUAUUGAAUUUUUGUAUUACAUGUACAGGAUAGGUGGGAGACAGAGAACUAAUGCCGCCAGGUGUUAGGGAGUCGAUGUUGGGAUACCACUCUUGUAAUAUGAAGGUUCUAACCUGCACCCGUGAAUCCGGGUGGGGGACACUGUCAGGUGGACAGUUUGACUGGGGCGGUCGCCUCCUAAAAGGUAACGGAGGCGUUCAAAGGUUGGUUCAGCACGGACGGAAAUCGUGCAACGAGUGCAAACGCAUAAACCAGCCUAACUGCGAGACCGACAAGUCGAGCAGUAACGAAAGUUGGAGUUAGUGAUCCGGCGGUAUGAGAGUGGAAUUGCCGUCGCUCAACGGAUAAAAGCUACCCUGGGGAUAACAGGCUGAUCUCCCCCAAGAGUCCACAUCGACGGGGAGGUUUGGCACCUCGAUGUCGGCUCAUCGCAUCCUGGAGCUGUAGUCGGUUCCAAGGGUUGGGCUGUUCGCCCAUUAAAGCGGUACGCGAGCUGGGUUCAGAACGUCGCGAGACAGUUCGGUCCCUAUCUAUCACGGGCGUAGGAAAUUUGAGGAGAGCUGACCUUAGUACGAGAGGACCGGGUUGGACGUACCGCUGGUGCACCUGUUGUUCUGCCAAGGGCAUAGCAGGGUAGCUAAGUACGGACGGGAUAAACGCUGAAGGCAUCUAAGCGUGAAGCCCCCUUCGAGAUAAGAUUUCCCAUAGCGUAGGCUAGUAAGGACCCAUGAAGACUACAUGGUUGAUAGGCCGGAGGUGGAAGUGCAGUAAUGUAUGUAGCUGACCGGUACUAAUAGUCCGAGGGCUUGACCAG